GCAAUAAUUUCGGAAAUUACAGUAUGUUCCUGUUGUGUAAAUGACUUCCAAAUGUUUGAACUGUCAAGUAUCAUUGUAAACAAUUUAAUGUAUCAUUGUAAACAAUUUAAUGUCAAUUGUGAAGCCACAUGCAUAUGUUUAAAAGCAGAAAAAAUGUAGUUUAAGUUUGAAUUAUUUUGCUUGCAAUAAAUUUUGUUAAAUUGCUGGAAACAUCCUGGCUCUUUAAGUUAUAUAAAGAGCGGAGGAUCCUGCAUUAUCCAUAAUUUUUAGAAAUCCCUUUUUAUUAUUCAUAUUAAGUGUGUAUUCUACAAAGUAAUUAGAAGUUAUGACCUAUCCUUAAACAUAAAGAUAACUAUAUAUAGCUAGUAUCACAGGAAUAAAGAGCUUAAAUAUCACAUAUUGCAAUGUUUACAGGGGUAUAAAAGGAACACUCCUUAGGGCUAUUCCAUUAAAAUGGAUGUGAGAGGGUUUGAACUGACAUACAAAACCCCUCUACUACUUAAAUACUUUUAUAGUAAUUUUGUAUACAUCAACAGACAAUCUAUCAUAAAUGACACAUUACUUCAGUCCGUUGAUAAAACUUCCCUUCCUACCCUCCCAAGUUUACUUUAAUGGAAUAGUCCUUGAUAAGAGUCUGUAGUUCAUAAACUUAUAUUGUCUAGUCUAUUUUUAUAAAUGAAUUCCAAUUGUCUGCAUGUGAGGGGUCUUUUAUACUGUAAAUUGUUAAGAAUAAAAGUCAUUUGUUGAUAUACAUGAGAGGGGCCUUUUAUGCUGUGAAUUGAUUUUAAUUGUUAAGCAUGAACUCAUUUUGCUGAUAUACAUGAGAGGGGCCUUUCAUGCUGUGAAUUGAUUUGGAUUGAUCAGAAUAAAAGUCAUUUGUUGAUAUACAUGAGAGGGGCCUUUUAUUCUGUGAAUUGAUUUGGAUUGUUAAGAAUAAAAGUCAUUUGUUGAUCUGCCCAAAUGGAGUCAUUUUAUUGUACUUAUGUUUGUUUAUUUACUUUUUGUUUGUUGGACCCUCUUGUUGUUUUGAGAAUACAGACAAUUGAUUUGAUUAUUUUUCUCUCUAAAAUGGUUUUUAAAUUUCUCAGAGGGAGGGAUAACUUUAAUUUGACAGGUUUAAAUUCUUGCAAAACAAAGCCACUAGAAAAGAGAUAGCUUAAUGUGUUACAGUAUAUAUUUAUUACCAAAUAAUGUUUGUAAAUUAUAUUAUAAAAAUGACUAGUUUCAUUCUUAUCACUAAGAGAUGUACCUGAGUAUGAGCUGUACUAUUAACACCUUGACAUUCUCUUUUGCCAUUGAUAGUUAUUUUAUAAUUGAUACAAUUUUUUUUUAACUUAACUUGUUUUUCUGGUUGUACAAAUUGUUAAAGAGAGGUAAUCAUGUU
rnacentral:lncRNA from 1 species